UUCUCAUUGAUAAAGAGACUGAGAGUCGGCUGAAGUCUGUGAUUAACACUACCUUGAUUGUCACCAACAUCCCCUACAUCAUCAUGGCGCUGGGUGUACUCUUUGGCCUGGUUUUCACAUGGCUUGCCUGCAAAGGGCAGGGAGCCACGGAUGAGGGAACGGCAGAUGAAAGAGCGCCCCUCAUACGAACCUAACCAUCGCCAGAGCUUGCUGCAGGAGCCCUAUGAGCUGUCCCAACCUGGUCCCUGACGUGGGGAAGCCCUCUGCAUCCUCACAUGCGUGUUGCCUGCUGGGAUGAGGGAAAAGACACUGUGCUGGCAGGUGUUGGGGCAUUCUGGCCAGAGGUUACUGAACAGGCUGACAUGCCUGGCCAUUAUGCUUUAGAAAAUCAUGUGGUCUCUGAAGUUGUUUUAAAUGUGUCUAGCAAGUAUUUAAUAAACCCUUGUAUAGUCAUUUUUUUGUGGUUGGGU